AAAAAGGGGUGCCUUGUGAAAAAGGCUGAGAUUAUACCCAUUGAACCUGAUACGGGUAAUGCCGUCGAAGGGAUUUUGUAGA
rnacentral:ncRNA from 1 species